rnacentral:rRNA from 1 species
AACGAACGCUGGCGGCAGGCCUAACACAUGCAAGUCGAACGCCCCGCAAGGGGAGUGGCAGACGGGUGAGUAACACGUGGGAACCUUCCCUAUACUACGGAAUAGCCCAGGGAAACUUGGAGUAAUACCGUAUACGCCCGAGAGGGGAAAGAUUUAUCGGUAUAGGAUGGGCCCGCGUAGGAUUAGCUAGUUGGUGAGGUAAUGGCUCACCAAGGCGACGAUCCUUAGCUGGUCUGAGAGGACGACCAGCCACACUGGGACUGAGACACGGCCCAGACUCCUACGGGAGGCAGCAGUGGGGAAUAUUGGACAAUGGGCGCAAGCCUGAUCCAGCCAUGCCGCGUGAGUGAUGAAGGCCUUAGGGUUGUAAAGCUCUUUUGCCGGGGACGAUAAUGACGGUACCCGGAGAAUAAGUCCCGGCUAACUUCGUGCCAGCCGCCGCUGUAAUAC